CCAAUAGCGUAUAUUAAAGUUGUUGCAGUUAAAAAGCUCGUAGUUGAAUUUCGAGAUCGGCUUACUGGUCGUGCUUUUGUACGUACUGGUAAAUCGGUUUCUCCUUUCUGACGAACUUUAAUGCCAUUAAUUUGGUGUUUUAGGGAAUCAGGACUGUUACUUUGAAAAAAUUAGAGUGUUUAAAGCAGGCUCACGCUUGAAUACAUUAGCAUGGAAUAACGGAAUAGGACGUUUGAUUCUAUUUUGUUGGUUUCUAGGAUCGACGUAAUGAUUAAUAGGGAUAGUUGGGGGCAUUAGUAUUCAAUUGUCAGAUGUGAAAUUCUUGGAUUUAUUGAAGACUAACUACUGCGAAAGCAUUUGCCAAGGAUGUUUUCAUUAAUCAAGAACGAAAGUUAGGGGAUCGAAGACGAUCAGAUACCGUCGUAGUCUUAACCAUAAACUAUGCCGACUAGGGAUCGGAUGAUGUUAAUUUUUUAAUGACUCGUUUGGCACCUUAUG
rnacentral:misc_RNA from 1 species